GACUUUGAGCAUACGAUUCAUGUGGGGUUUGAUGCAGUCACCGGGGAAUUCACUGGAAUUCCAGAGCAAUGGGCACGAUUACUCCAAACUUCCAACAUAACAAAAUUGGAACAGAAGAAGAACCCACAAGCUGUUCUAGAUGUUCUCAAAUUCUAUGAUUCCAAAGAAACAGUCAACAACCAGAAAUACAUGAGCUUUACAUCAGGAGAUAAAAGUGCACAUGGAUACAUAGCAGCCCAUCCUUCGGUAAGUGAAAAAUUGAAAACUGUUUCACAUGAUUGGUGUUUCCAAAGAUUUAAAAGAAUAUAACUGCACAGAUCCAGUUUUUAGAUAUAAAGUCUUUUAAAAACAAUUUUAAGGUAUAAUUCAGUUUAUAUAAAAUUCACCUAUUUUCAGGUAAACAGUUCAAUGAGUUUUGGUAAAUGUAUAUACCUAUGCUACCAUCACCACAAUUGAGUUUUAGAACAAGUCCAUCACCCCAGUAAAAUCCUUCAUACCUGCUUACAGUUAACUCCACCCACCCCACCCUAGUCACAGGCAAGAACUAAUAUGGAAUCUGCC
rnacentral:sRNA from 1 species